rnacentral:lncRNA from 1 species
GGUUCAGUGCUACUAUGUCUAAUCACCAAUCUCAAUCAUAAGAACAAGGAAUAAUAUGAUUAAUUAUCAUAAAACAGAGUAAGGUGUAACUGCAGGACCAGAUCAGCCCAUAGUGUACCAGACUAUGCCCAAUGGUCUGCAGUCCCCACCUGUUACCUCAUCAGGGGCGUCCAUGCUCUUCCUAGCACGCCUUCAUCAAACCCUUUUUACAUACUUCCAGUAUUGAUAAGAUCUAACCAUGGUUCGUGACCAUCACUCCUUCCAUGGAACUUCCAUGAAACCAGUUUCUACACUGCAUCCACCUUCAAGGCUAUUCAUGCCAUUGUGAGUGAAGUCCGGCCUUCUCCCUUCUCUCCUGGGUGUUUUCGUGUGUUCCCAAGAUGCAGAGGAAGCCU